GAUGAACGCUGGCUUCGUGCCUAAUACAUGCAAGUCGAGCGAACGGACGAGAAGCUUGCUUCUCUGAUGUUAGCGGCGGACGGGUGAGUAACACGUGGAUAACCUACCUAUAAGACUGGGAUAACUUCGGGAAACCGGAGCUAAUACCGGAUAAUAUUUCGAACCGCAUGGUUCAAAAGUGAAAGACGGUCUUGCUGUCACUUAUAGAUGGAUCCGCGCUGCAUUAGCUAGUUGGUAAGGUAACGGCUUACCAAGGCAACGAUGCAUAGCCGACCUGAGAGGGUGAUCGGCCACACUGGAACUGAGACACGGUCCAGACUCCUACGGGAGGCAGCAGUAGGGAAUCUUCCGCAAUGGGCGAAAGCCUGACGGAGCAACGCCGCGUGAGUGAUGAAGGUCUUCGGAUCGUAAAACUCUGUUAUUAGGGAAGAACAUAUGUGUAAGUAACUGUGCACAUCUUGACGGUACCUAAUCAGAAAGCCACGGCUAACUACGUGCCAGCAGCCGCGGUAAUACGUAGGUGGCAAGCGUUAUCCGGAAUUAUUGGGCGUAAAGCGCGCGUAGGCGGUUUUUUAAGUCUGAUGUGAAAGCCCACGGCUCAACCGUGGAGGGUCAUUGGAAACUGGAAAACUUGAGUGCAGAAGAGGAAAGUGGAAUUCCAUGUGUAGCGGUGAAAUGCGCAGAGAUAUGGAGGAACACCAGUGGCGAAGGCGACUUUCUGGUCUGUAACUGACGCUGAUGUGCGAAAGCGUGGGGAUCAAACAGGAUUAGAUACCCUGGUAGUCCACGCCGUAAACGAUGAGUGCUAAGUGUUAGGGGGUUUCCGCCCCUUAGUGCUGCAGCUAACGCAUUAAGCACUCCGCCUGGGGAGUACGACCGCAAGGUUGAAACUCAAAGGAAUUGACGAGGACCCGCACAAGCGGUGGAGCAUGUGGUUUAAUUCGAAGCAACGCGAAGAACCUUACCAAAUCUUGACAUCCUUUGACAACUCUAGAGAUAGAGCCUUCCCCUUCGGGGGACAAAGUGACAGGUGGUGCAUGGUUGUCGUCAGCUCGUGUCGUGAGAUGUUAGGUUAAGUCCCGCAACGAGCGCAACCCUUAAGCUUAGUUGCCAUCAUUAAGUUGGGCACUCUAAGUUGACUGCCGGUGACAAACCGGAGGAAGGUGGGGAUGACGUCAAAUCAUCAUGCCCCUUAUGAUUUGGGCUACACACGUGCUACAAUGGACAAUACAAAGGGCAGCGAAACCGCGAGGUCAAGCAAAUCCCAUAAAGUUGUUCUCAGUUCGGAUUGUAGUCUGCAACUCGACUACAUGAAGCUGGAAUCGCUAGUAAUCGUAGAUCAGCAUGCUACGGUGAAUACGUUCCCGGGUCU
rnacentral:rRNA from 1 species